rnacentral:rRNA from 1 species
UACGGAGGGUGCAAGCGUUAUCCGGAUUCACUGGGUUUAAAGGGUGCGUAGGCGGGUAGGUAAGUCAGUGGUGAAAUCUUCGAGCUUAACUCGGAAACUGCCUUUGAUACUAUCUAUCUUGAAUAUUGUGGAGGUAAGCGGAAUAUGUCAUGUAGCGGUGAAAUGCUUAGAUAUGACAUAGAAUACCAAUUGCGAAGGCAGCUGGCUACGCGAAUAUUGACACUCAGGCACGAAAGCGUGGGGAUCAAACAGG